rnacentral:rRNA from 1 species
UACGUAGGGUGCAAGCGUUGUCCGGAAUUAUUGGGCGUAAAGAGCUCGUAGGCGGUCCGUCACGUCGGCUGUGAAACCCUGGGGCUCAACCCCGGGCCUGCAGCCGAUACGGGCGGACUAGAAUUCGGUAGGGGAGACUGGAAUUCCUGGUGUAGCGGUGAAAUGCGCAGAUAUCAGGAGGAACACCGGUGGCGAAGGCGGGUCUCUGGGCCGAUAUUGACGCUGAGGAGCGAAAGCGUGGGGAGCGAACAGG